GGGUUGUGAGGUUAAGCGACUAAGCGUACACGGUGGAUGCCCUGGCAGUCAGAGGCGAUGAAGGACGUGCUAAUCUGCGAAAAGCGUCGGUAAGGUGAUAUGAACCGUUAUAACCGGCGAUGUCCGAAUGGGGAAACCCAGUGCAAUUCGUUGCACUAUCGUUAACUGAAUACAUAGGUUAACGAGGCGAACCGGGGGAACUGAAACAUCUAAGUACCCCGAGGAAAAGAAAUCAACCGAGAUUCCCCCAGUAGCGGCGAGCGAACGGGGAGCAGCCCAGAGUCUGAAUCAGCUUGUGUGUUAGUGGAACGGUCUGGAAAGUCCGACGGUACAGGGUGAUAGUCCCGUACACCAAAAUGCACAGGCUGUGAACUCGAAGAGUAGGGCGGGACACGUGGUAUCCUGUCUGAAUAUGGGGGGACCAUCCUCCAAGGCUAAAUACUCCUGACUGACCGAUAGUGAACCAGUACCGUGAGGGAAAGGCGAAAAGAACCCCGGCGAGGGGAGUGAAAAAGAACCUGAAACCGUGUACGUACAAGCAGUGGGAGCACCUUCGGGUGUGACUGCGUACCUUUUGUAUAAUGGGUCAGCGACUUAUAUUCUGUAGCAAGGUUAACCGUAUAGGGGAGCCGCAGGGAAACCGAGUCUUAACUGGGCGUUAAGUUGCAGGGUAUAGACCCGAAACCCGGUGAUCUAGCCAUGGGCAGGUUGAAGGUUGGGUAACACUAACUGGAGGACCGAACCGACUAAUGUUGAAAAAUUAGCGGAUGACUUGUGGCUGGGGGUGAAAGGCCAAUCAAACCGGGAGAUAGCUGGUUCUCCCCGAAAGCUAUUUAGGUAGCGCCUCGUGAAUUCAUCUUCGGGGGUAGAGCACUGUUUCGGCUAGGGGGUCAUCCCGACUUACCAACCCGAUGCAAACUACGAAUACCGAAGAAUGUUAUCACGGGAGACACACGGCGGGUGCUAACGUCCGUCGUGAAGAGGGAAACAACCCAGACCGCCAGCUAAGGUCCCAAAGUCAUGGUUAAGUGGGAAACGAUGUGGGAAGGCACAGACAGCCAGGAUGUUGGCUUAGAAGCAGCCAUCAUUUAAAGAAAGCGUAAUAGCUCACUGGUCGAGUCGGCCUGCGCGGAAGAUGUAACGGGGCUAAACCAUGCACCGAAGCUGCGGCAGCGACACUAUGUGUUGUUGGGUAGGGGAGCGUUCUGUAAGCCUGCGAAGGUGUGCUGUGAGGCAUGCUGGAGGUAUCAGAAGUGCGAAUGCUGACAUAAGUAACGAUAAAGCGGGUGAAAAGCCCGCUCGCCGGAAGACCAAGGGUUCCUGUCCAACGUUAAUCGGGGCAGGGUGAGUCGACCCCUAAGGCGAGGCCGAAAGGCGUAGUCGAUGGGAAACAGGUUAAUAUUCCUGUACUUGGUGUUACUGCGAAGGGGGGACGGAGAAGGCUAUGUUAGCCGGGCGACGGUUGUCCCGGUUUAAGCAUGUAGGCUGGUUAUCCAGGCAAAUCCGGAUAAUCAAGGCUGAGGUGUGAUGACGAGGCACUACGGUGCUGAAGUAACAAAUGCCCUGCUUCCAGGAAAAGCCUCUAAGCAUCAGGUAACAUCAAAUCGUACCCCAAACCGACACAGGUGGUCAGGUAGAGAAUACCAAGGCGCUUGAGAGAACUCGGGUGAAGGAACUAGGCAAAAUGGUGCCGUAACUUCGGGAGAAGGCACGCUGGUGUGUAGGUGAAGUCCCUGCGGAUGGAGCUGAGACCAGUCGAAGAUACCAGCUGGCUGCAACUGUUUAUUAAAAACACAGCACUGUGCAAACACGAAAGUGGACGUAUACGGUGUGACGCCUGCCCGGUGCCGGAAGGUUAAUUGAUGGGGUUAUCCGUAAGGAGAAGCUCUUGAUCGAAGCCCCGGUAAACGGCGGCCGUAACUAUAACGGUCCUAAGGUAGCGAAAUUCCUUGUCGGGUAAGUUCCGACCUGCACGAAUGGCGUAAUGAUGGCCAGGCUGUCUCCACCCGAGACUCAGUGAAAUUGAACUCGCUGUGAAGAUGCAGUGUACCCGCGGCAAGACGGAAAGACCCCGUGAACCUUUACUAUAGCUUGACACUGAACAUUGAGCCUUGAUGUGUAGGAUAGGUGGGAGGCUUUGAAGCGUGGACGCCAGUCUGCGUGGAGCCAACCUUGAAAUACCACCCUUUAAUGUUUGAUGUUCUAACGUUGGCCCCUGACCGGGGUUGCGGACAGUGUCUGGUGGGUAGUUUGACUGGGGCGGUCUCCUCCCAAAGCGUAACGGAGGAGCACGAAGGUUAGCUAAUCCUGGUCGGACAUCAGGAGGUUAGUGCAAUGGCAUAAGCUAGCUUGACUGCGAGCGUGACGGCGCGAGCAGGUGCGAAAGCAGGUCAUAGUGAUCCGGUGGUUCUGAAUGGAAGGGCCAUCGCUCAACGGAUAAAAGGUACUCCGGGGAUAACAGGCUGAUACCGCCCAAGAGUUCAUAUCGACGGCGGUGUUUGGCACCUCGAUGUCGGCUCAUCACAUCCUGGGGCUGAAGUAGGUCCCAAGGGUAUGGCUGUUCGCCAUUUAAAGUGGUACGCGAGCUGGGUUUAGAACGUCGUGAGACAGUUCGGUCCCUAUCUGCCGUGGGCGCUGGAGAAUUGAGGGGGGCUGCUCCUAGUACGAGAGGACCGGAGUGGACGCAUCACUGGUGUUCGGGUUGUCAUGCCAAUGGCACUGCCCGGUAGCUAAAUGCGGAAGAGAUAAGUGCUGAAAGCAUCUAAGCACGAAACUUGCCCCGAGAUGAGUUCUCCCUGAGACUUUAAGUCUCCUGAAGGAACGUU
rnacentral:rRNA from 1 species